rnacentral:rRNA from 1 species
UACGGAGGGUGCAAGCGUUAUCCGGAUUCACUGGGUUUAAAGGGAGCGUAGGAGGGCAGGUAAGUCAGUGGUGAAAUCUUCGAGCUUAACUCGGAAACUGCCGUUGAUACUAUCUGUCUUGAAUACCGUGGAGAUGAGCGGAAUAUGUCAUGUAGCGGUGAAAUGCUUAGAUAUGACAUAGAACACCAAAUUGCGAAGGCAGCUCGUUACACGAAUAUUGACUCUGAGCUGAAAGCGUGGGGAUCAAACAGG